rnacentral:rRNA from 1 species
UAGGGAAUCUUCGGCAAUGGGGGCAACCCUGACCGAGCAACGCCGCGUGAGUGAAGAAGGUUUUCGGAUCGUAAAGCUCUGUUGUAAGAGAAGAACGAGUGUGAGAGUGGAAAGUUCACACUGUGACGGUAUCUUACCAGAAAGGGACGGCUAACUACGUGCCAGCAGCCGCGGUAAUACGUAGGGGGCAAGCGUUAUCCGGAUUUACUGGGUGUAAAGGGAGCGCAGACGGCUCUGCAAGUCUGAAGUGAAAGCCCGCGGCUUAACCGCGGGACUGCUUUGGAAACUGCAAGGCUUGAGUAUCGGAGGGGCAGGCGGAAUUCCUAGUGUAGCGGUGAAAUGCGUAGAUAUUAGGAAGAACACCGGUGGCGAAGGCGGCCUGCUGGACGAAAACUGACGUUGAGGCUCGAAGGCGUGGGGAGCAAACAGGAUUAGAUACCCUGGUAGUCCACGCGGUAAACGAUGAAUACUAGGUGUUGGUGCCCGAAGGGCAUCGGUGCCGUCGCAAACGCAAUAAGUAUUCCACCUGGGGAGUACGUUCGCAAGAAUG